GCGUGAGCGGCGGCGCGUCCCGGAGGCGUCCACGGCAGAAGAUGGAGUGGGAAAGCGGGUGUUUGUCUCGCUCUUUCGGGAGCCGGAGCAGACCGUCAGCCCGCAGCAGCUCGGGUUCCCGACGCGGAGCGCUCGCCUGCCUCGGCCGCCGCCAGAGCGGUCCGAAGACGCCCACACUGCCGCCACCGGCGCCAAGCUGGAGCGCGACGUCCGUGCCCGGACCUGCCCGGCCUCUCUUCCUCUGAUCUGUGGGACCAUGCGACAGAGAGGACCGGUCACUCACUUCGUUUCAAGGUGACUUGUGGGGUCCGGAGCCGUUUGCAUCUGUCUGCUGCAGUUUGGAAACAGAGUAACGGCCCAAGAGAAGCCCGGCAAACUUGUCCAAACCACACAGAACUUCAGGCCCUACAAACGCCAACUGGGCAUGGAGCACAGGAAGAGUUCUUCUCCCUCGAAAAUGCCUGACAUCCAUGAAGAGCUUUACAAUUUACAAAGCUAUGUGACAUCCACCAUCUCAUCUUUAGAUCAACAAUGUGAGCUCAGGGAUGCCACCCCCAGCAGUCAGUUCAGCUGCAGGGAAGAGAGAACCUCUCCAGCUAUCUUAAGAAGAGGAAAUUACCCCUAGAAAUGAGGUGCUUACAGAAUUCUUGAACAGACCCGAGAGAGGCAACCUCUAGACUCUCAAAACAACUGAACUGUUCACCAAGAUUGCUGCGCUCUCUGCCACUAGCAGGAAGACUAAAAUCAAUGUGAAGAGUCUCCGUGGAUGAUGACCAUACAGAUCACCACUCCUUUGUGCCCUCUCCUGACCCAUCCACUGCGAGUCGUGGUCACAGGUGCCGCGUGUAUGACUGGCAGAGAAGAAAUGGAAGCCUGCUCCCUCCUGCACUGCUGGCUUAUUGUGACUCAUUGCAGCUUGCAGGUGCCUAGCGAUAUGGAUUGACUGAUCAUAUGACCUAGUUUUAGC
ensembl:lncRNA